rfam:Myotis lucifugus cont2.19800, whole genome shotgun sequence.
GGCAGUUCUCAGGUGAUGCACCCCAGAAUUGGGCUCCCUACUCUCUGGUACCCGAUGUGUCACCUGAGAACCGCA